rnacentral:misc_RNA from 1 species
AACUGAUACUACCUGCGGGAACCUGCGGAAGGAUCAUUAUCGUUUGACCGAGGCAUGCUGGGCUGUCGCUGAUGGCACUUUCGUCGUCGUGCACGCUCAGGUGCUCUCACACAAUCCACCUCACCCUUAUGUGCACCAUCGCGUGGGCCUCCCCCGGCCUGCGUUUUCACACAAACACACCCUUUAGAUGUAGAGUAGAAUGUAUUUUUGAUAACGAUCAAUACAACUUUUAACAACGGA